UUGCAUGUUUUUUGUUUUCACGUUGUAACAGAAGGAUACUUUUUUUCUCUUACGGCGUUCUUCUCACUGGAUUUUCGCUGUAAAUGUUUUGAUGAGAUCCAGUCCUCAGUUAGUUUUCUUGUGCUAUCGAUGGGUUUUUAGUUUUCUAUUUCUUUUUUUUUUCUUAAUUAAAAGUUUAAUUCAGUUAAAACAAGUUAUAACAGUGAUUUCAACAUGAAAUUAAUUAUAU
rnacentral:lncRNA from 1 species